rfam:Populus trichocarpa isolate Nisqually-1 chromosome 1, whole genome shotgun sequence.
UGCAAUCUAUGAUGCAAAUUGUUUUUUAGUUCUGAUUAUCCUGUGAUGAUCAUAAAAAUCACCAUCUUUCGACUGAGGCUGCA